rnacentral:rRNA from 1 species
CGAGUGAAGAGGGAAAAGCUCAAAUUUAAAAUCUGGCAGCAUUUUGCUGUCCGAGUUGUAACCUAGAGAAGUGUAACCUGUGCUGGACCGUGUAUAAGUUUCCUGGAAUGGAGCAUCACAGAGGGUGAGAAUCCCGUCUUUGACAUGGACUACCAGUGCAUUGUGGUUGUGCUCUCAACGAGUCGAGUUGUUUGGGAAUGCAGCUCUAAAUGGGUGGUAAAUUCCAUCUAAAGCUAAAUAUUGGCGAGAGACCGAUAGCGAACAAGUACCGUGAGGGAAAGAUGAAAAGAACUUUGGAAAGAGAGUUAAACAGUAUGUGAAAUUGUUGAAAGGGAAACGUUUGAAGUCAGUCGCGUUAGCUGGGGAUCAGCCUGACAUUGUUGGGUGCACUUCCUGGUUGACGGGCCAACAUCAGUUUUGACUGCCAGAAAAAGGCCAAGGGAAUGUGGCACCUUUGGGUGUGUUAUAGCCUUUGGUCAUAUAUGGUGGUUGGGACUGAGGAACGCAGUGUGCUGAAAGGCCGGGUUUCGACCACGUUCACACUGAGGAUGUUGGCAUAAUGGCUUUAAGCGACCCGUCUUGAAACACGGACCAAGGAGUCUAACAUGCAUGCGAGUGUUUGGGUGGAAAACCCUUACGCGUAAUGAAAGUGAAAGUUGAGAUCCCUGUCGUGGGGAGCAUCGACGCCCGGACCAGAACUUUUGGGACGGAUCUGCGGUAGAGCACGUAUGUUGGGACCCGAAAGAUGGUGAACUAUGCCUGAAUAGGGUGAAGCCAGAGGAAACUCUGGUGGAGGCUCGUAGCGAUUCUGACGUGCAAAUCGAUCGUCAAAUUUGGG